rnacentral:rRNA from 1 species
UACGUAGGGUGCAAGCGUUGUCCGGAAUUAUUGGGCGUAAAGAGCUCGUAGGCGGUUUGUCGCGUCUGCUGUGAAAACUCGGGGCUUAACCCCGGGCCUGCAGUGGGUACGGGCAGACUAGAGUGCGGUAGGGGAGACUGGAAUUCCUGGUGUAGCGGUGAAAUGCGCAGAUAUCAGGAGGAACACCGGUGGCGAAGGCGGGUUGCUGGGCCAACACUGACGCUGAGGCGCGAAAGCCAGGGGAGCAAACGGG